ACUGGAAGGUGCAGGUUUGUUGGGGAAUAACUUGGAAACUGGUGCUAGCUUCCAGCCUGUUAGUUUACUUAAGUUCAACCUAAGGCCAGGCUCUGUAAGAUGGAGUCUGAACUCAAAAGAUUUGAUCUCUUAGUGUGUUUAGUUGACAGUACACAGCUUAAGAAAGUGAUUUCCCCCCUUUUCAGACUCUAUUGGAAGCCACUAGUUCAGAGAUAAAAGGUAGGGUCCCUUGAUCCUUUUUUCAUCUGUCAAUGGAUUGCUGAGAGCAUCAGUCUGGUGUGCAAGUAUUGCAGGUUAAGCCAAUCACAUCAGUCAAGGAAAUGCAUAGUGCAGAGAGUGGGUGACAAGAAGCAGGACUCACACAGCUACUCAAAAACUUUGAUAUUGUAACAUCUAUUGAAAAUAUUUUUGCUUGUGAAUUUGGCUGUAGCAUAUGUCUUCCACUUUAACCACCAAAGGCAGCCUCCUUCUGCAAGUCUGCUCAAGGAGAAACACAAAGCAAUUCUGAGACCUCUGGACUUAGUGCUCCCAUCCCACGGGAGAUCCCAAUGGUUCUGGUUGCCAAAAGAAGAUAAUGAUGGGGUAGGAGACAGCACAGAAAAUUAUGACAGGUUGACUGUGCCAGCACGCAAAAUGCACUGAAAUGCCUCAGAGGCUCCUGAAGCAGCCUUGGAAACACCAUCCAUUGGCUCUCAUCUGGAAACCACAACUGCUUCUUAUAGAAGGUUCAGUGGUCAAGGCU